UUUAGCAUCUCCGUCAAAAACAUCAUCCAACAAGAGAAAAUGCUGUAGGAAAGUCUAUGAUUAUUCUUCUCUACGCCGCUCAAAUCGAUUAAUCUCUCAGUCUGAAUCGGUUCCACGAUGAUCUACUAGAUUGAAUGGAACCCAGAUAUCUUCUCUUCAAGGUGGAAUUUUUAAACAGAAAUAAUGGAAAUUGUUUGAAGCGGAAGAGAGAGAACUCGAAGAGAGGAACAAAAUAUCUAAAGAACACACGCAUCUCGGUAAUGCUGGUGAUCUCAACAAGUGGGCGGCGGUGCAUCUACAGUGCUCAAGGUUUCAGAAAGAUGAACCACACAAGAAGAUGAUGAUUCACGAGGCAAUUAACAAACUAGAGAAAACACUCGAGGUGUCAAAUGGAAACGACAAGACACUGUUCUUGUUAGGCGUUGCUCACUCUUCUUUGGGAGAUGAUACGAAAGAAGUUGGCUAUUUUAGCUAUUUUAGAGAAGCACAAAAGAAAAAUCCAGAAGAAAGGCUUUACAAACUUAGGUCGUUACCAGACGACCACACAUGGCUUGCGAUUGGUGCUCUUAUAUGAUUCCGAUUGGUGCUCUGCGGUUGUCAAAAUUAUGUUUAAGAAGUAAGACUUGCUUUGUGUGUUGCCUAAUUAACAGGAAAGGAGGAUGUUCUUCUGCUCUCUUUCUCUGUGACAAAGAGCGGUGGUGGUACUUGCUGCCAGCAAUAGAGAAUUGGAUCUCGAUGGAGCCAUCAAAGGAGUGUUGGCCAAAGGCAAACUCGUAUUAUACAAGGAAAAGCUGGUAGCAGUGGAUUGCAUAACUUGUCAUGCUCCUCAAUAAUGUCUGCAUAACAUGG